rnacentral:pre_miRNA from 1 species
UUAAUACUCCCUCUGUCCCAAAAUUCUUGUCUUACAUUGUCUAGAUACGGAUGAACCUAAUACUAAAACAUGACUUGAUACAUCCGUAUUUAGACAAAUCUAAGAUAAGAAUUUUGGGACGGAGGGAGUAUUAA